UCCCUGGUAGUAUAUCGGUUUAGUACACGCGCCUGUCAUACCCAUUGACAAUAGAAAAGUACCGCGCGAAAGCUGGGUUCGACUCCCAGCCAGGGAG
rnacentral:tRNA from 1 species